rnacentral:rRNA from 1 species
GAUGAACGCUAGCGGAAGGCAUAAUACAUGCAAGUCGAACGGAUGUAGCAAUACAUUAGUGGCGCACGGGUGCGUAACGCGUAUGCAACCUACCUUCAUCAGGGGGAUAACUACCCGAAAGGGUGGCUAACACCACAUAAUACUACUGAAUGGCAUCAUUUGGUAUUUAAAUCUGAGGAGGAUGAAGAUGGGCAUGCGUCUGAUUAGCUAGUUGGUGUGGUAACGGCGCACCAAGGCGACGAUCAGUAGGGGAACUGAGAGGUUGGUCCCCCACACUGGCACUGAGAUACGGGCCAGACUCCUACGGGAGGCAGCAGUAGGGAAUAUUGGUCAAUGGUGGGAACACUGAACCAGCCAUUCCGCGUGCAGGAAGAAGGGUCUCUGACUUGUAAACUGCUUUAGCAAGGGAAGAAAAAGCUCAUGCGUGAGAAAUUGACGGUACCUUGAGAAUAAGCACCGGCUAACUACGUGCCAGCAGCCGCCGUAAAAC